rnacentral:rRNA from 1 species
GACGAACGCUGGCGGCGUGCUUAACACAUGCAAGUCGAACGGAAAGGCCCCCUUCUGGGGUCCUCGAGUUGCGAACGGGUGGGUAACACGUCAGUAACCUACCCUUGAUUUUGGGAUAACUUCACUAAACUGGGGCUAAUCUCGUAUAGGAGCUUCUUCUGCAUGGUGGGGUUCGGAAAUUUUCGGCGGUCUUGGAUUGACUGGUAGCUUAUCCCCUGCUUGGUGGGGUAGUUGCUCACCAAGGCGUUGACGGGUAGCCGGCCUGAGAGGGGGACCGGCGACAUUGGGACUGAGAGACGGCGCAGAAGCGUACGGGAGGCAGCAGGGGGGAAUAUGGCGCAGUGGGCGGAAGCCUGAUGCGGCAGCGUUGCGUGCGGGAUGCCGGCCUUCGGGGGGUAAACCGAUGUGUACUGUGACGAAGAGUGAGUGACGGUAAUGGGUAAGAAAGCACCGGCUAACUACGUG